rnacentral:rRNA from 13 species
GCAGCCAUCCUUGAAAGAGUGCGUAACAGCUCACUGGUCUAGUGGUUCCGCGCCGACAAUGUAGCGGGGCUCAAGCACGCCACCGAAGACGCGGCAACAACCCUUGUGGUUGUUGGGUAGGAGAGCGUCCCAUGCUGGGUUGAAGCCGCGGAGUGAUCCUGUGGUGGACCGUAUGGGAGUGAGAAUGCAGACAUGAGUAGCGAGAGCAAGGUGAGGAUCCUUGCCGCUGGAUGACCAAGGGUUCCAGGGCCACGUUCGUCGUCCCUGGGUGAGUCGGGUCCUAAGGCGAGGCCGACAGGCGUAGUCGAAUGGAUGAACGGGUUGAUAUUCCCGUACCGGCC